GAUGAACGCUGGCGGCGUGCCUAAUACAUGCAAGUCGAGCGAACAGACGAGGAGCUUGCUCCUUUGACGUUAGCGGCGGACGGGUGAGUAACACGUGUGUAACCUACCUAUAAGACUGGGAUAACUUCGGGAAACCGGAGCUAAUACCGGAUAAUAUUUCGAACCGCAUGGUUCGAUAGUGAAAGAUGGCUUUGCUGUCACUUAUAGAUGGACCUGCGCCGUAUUAGCUAGUCGUUAAGGUAACGGCUUACCAAGGCAACGAUACGUAGCCGACCGGAGAGGGUGGUAGGCCACACUGGAAGUGAGACACGGUCAAGACUCCUACGAGAGGCAGCAGUAGGGAAUCUUACGCAAUAGGCGAAAGCAUGACGGAGCAACGCCGCGUGAGUGAUGAAGGUCUUCGGAUCGUAAAACUCUGUUAUUAGGGAAGAACAAACGUGUAAGUAAAUGUGCACGUCUUGACGGUACCUAAUCAGAAAGCCACGGCUAACUACGUG
rnacentral:rRNA from 1 species